UACGUAGGUGGCGAGCGUUAUCCGGAAUGAUUGGGCGUAAAGGGUGCGCAGGCGGUCCUGCAAGUCUGGAGUGAAACGUAUGAGCUCAACUCAUGCAUGGCUCUGGAAACCGGGCGACUUGAGUGCAGAAGAGGACAGUGGAACUCCAUGUGUAGCGGUGGAAUGCGUAGAUAUAUGGAAGAACACCAGUAGCGAAGGCGGCUGUCUGGUCUGCAACUGACGCUGAGGCUCGAAAGCAUGGGUAGCGAACAGG
rnacentral:rRNA from 1 species